rnacentral:tRNA from 1 species
GUCCAGAGAUGGGAAUCGAACCCACAGUGUUCCACUUACCGGGUAGAUGCCAUGUCCACUAGACUACCCCGGA